UACAUACUCCCUUCAUCCGAAAAAGCUUGUCCCUCAAAUGGAUGUAUGUAGCACCAAGUUAGUGCUAGAUACAUCUAUUUGAGGGACAAGUUUGAGACAAGUUUUUUCGGACGGAGGGAGUACAAU
rnacentral:pre_miRNA from 1 species